rnacentral:rRNA from 1 species
UACGAAGGGUGCAAGCGUUACUCGGAAUUACUGGGCGUAAAGCGUGCGUAGGUGGUGAGUUAAGUCUGUCGUGAAAGCCCCGGGCUCAACCUGGGAAUGGCGAUGGAUACUGGCUCGCUAGAGUGCGGUAGAGGAGAGUGGAAUUCCCGGUGUAGCAGUGAAAUGCGUAGAGAUCGGGAGGAACAUCAGUUGCGAAGGCGGCUCUCGUGGACAUUUACUGACGCUGAGACGCGAAAGCGUGGGGAGCAAACACGG